rnacentral:rRNA from 1 species
GCAAGUCGAGCGCCUCGCAAGAGGAGCGGCAGACGGGUGAGUAACGCGUGGGAAUCUACCGUGCCCUAAGGAAUAGCUCCGGGAAACUGGAAUUAAUACCUUAUACGCCCUUCGGGGGAAAGAUUUAUCGGGGUAUGAUGAGCCCGCGUUGGAUUAGCUAGUUGGUGGGGUAAAGGCCUACCAAGGCGACGAUCCAUAGCUGGUCUGAGAGGAUGAUC